rnacentral:circRNA from 1 species
AUUCAGUGCUCAAGAGUGAAGAAAAUUCUACUGUCUUUAGCCACUUAAUGAAGUACCCGUGUAAUACUUUUGGAAAACCUCAUACAGAAGUCAAGAUCAACAGAAAAACUGCAUUUGGAACUACAACUCUUGUCUUGACUGAUUUUAGCAAUAAAUCCAGUACUUUGGAAAGAAAAACAAAGCAAAACCAGAUACUAGAUGAGGAGUUUCAAAACUCUCCUCCUGCUAGUGUUUGUUUGAAUGAUAUACAGCACCCCUCCAAGAAGACAACAAACGAUAUAACUCAACCAUCCAGCAAAGUAAACAUAUCACCUACAAUCAGUUCAGAAUCUAAAUUAUUUAGUCCAGCACAUAAAAAACCGAAAACAGCCCAAUACUCAUCACCAGAGCUUAAAAGCUGCAACCCUGGAUAUUCUAACAGUGAACUUCAAAUUAAUAUGACAGAUGGCCCUCGUACCUUAAAUCCUGACAGCCCUCGCUGCAGUAAACACAACCGCCUCUGCAUUCUCCGAGUUGUGGGGAAGGAUGGGGAAAACAAGGGCAGGCAGUUUUAUGCCUGUCCUCUACCUAGAGAAGCACAAUGUGGAUUUUUUGAA